CAAAAGGGUUGCCCUUUACUAGGAGAUACAUCCAGAAACUUGAAGAGCUUGAGCGAAAACAAGCUCAUCUUUAUGUUUUGAGAAAUUGUGAAGAAGUUCAAUCAUUUUUGCGGUAUGUACUCAGGGAUCAAAAAAGAAAGCUGGUGCCUCGUCAGAAAGACUCGGUUCGUAGAGUAGAGGCCAUUCCCCGACAAAGAGCAAAGCGGAGCAUUCACAAAGAGAUGGUGUAAGCAGAAGGG
rnacentral:lncRNA from 1 species